GAUGAACGCUAGCGGCAGGCUUAAUACAUGCAAGUCGUGGGGCAGCAUGAAUGUAGCAAUACAUUUGAUGGCGACCGGCAAACGGGUGCGGAACACGUACACAACCUUCCUACAAGUGGGGAAUAGCCCAGAGAAAUUUGGAUUAAUACCCCGUAACAUAACGAUGUGGCAUCACAUUGUUAUUAUAGCUUCGGCGCUUAUUGAUGGGUGUGCGGCUGAUUAGAUAGUUGGCGGGGUAACGGCCCACCAAGUCUACGAUCAGUAGCUGAUGUGAGAGCAUGAUCAGCCACACGGGCACUGAGACACGGGCCCGACUCCUACGGGAGGCAGCUGUAAGGAAUAUUGGUCAAUGGACGCAAGUCUGAACCAGCCAUGCCGCGUGAAGGAUUAAGGUCCUCUGGAUUGUAAACUUCUUUUAUCUGGGACGAAAAAAGGCUUUUCUAAGUCACUUGACGGUACCAGAUGAAUAAGCACCGGCUAACUCCGUGCCAGCAGCCGCCGUAACAC
rnacentral:rRNA from 1 species